AUUCAACCAAAGAAACUUAAAGAAGGGGGAAUGUAUCUUGACUGAUAUCUCAAGGUUACAGUCCAGCCCCAUACAGAAGUUAUGGUAACAGGAGCCUGAGGAAGCUGGUUGCAUUUUGUCUUUUGUCAAGAAACAAAAUUCUUAUGACGUGACGUUUGAUUUGGAAAAACUUGCUGACCAGUUUCUUCACACCUGACUGGAAAGAUGAAAGAUGUUCCGAUCUGUAAGAAGAAUACGCUCCUUGAAAUUCCACAUCAGGCCAGACAAUGAGGAAUCUGCUGAGACCCAUCUGCAAAUGAGCACUUGUGUUGGUGCUAGAAGGAGAGAAUGUAUGAGAUGUCCUUAAAAUGAUUUGGAGUCAGACUACAGUUGUAGAAAUUAGAUUUUUUUUUUCUCCAAAUAUAUUCCCCAUGUCGGCCAUCCUAUUAGAACUUUAGUGUUCAAAGGUUGAUGAUGCAUUGUCUCUAUUUUAUGUUCAGUAGUAUUGCAUGCUUUACUUUAAUCACUAAGAACAUGCCAUCCUCCUGAUUACUGAAAUCCUGCUUUUAAGAUUUAGGGAAAUGAUCACUCCCUUACUAGAAGAAAGGCUUGCCUUUACCAGGUAUUAGCAAUUGUGUUUAUUAUCUUGCAGCUGAGAACCUAUGACUUCCAAUAUAACCUGGUUUAGGAGAAGUCAGCAGUAUGAACAGAACCAAAGGGAUAGAAAGAAAUUACAUCCUUGAUGACAUCAUUAAGCCACUGAAUCAAGUGCCCAUGGCAUCUGCAUUCUGCUAUUCUGCUAAACUUCCUGUUAUGGGACCUAUGGACUUUUAUAAACAACAUUUGAGCUGGAGUUUCUCUUAGUUACAGUUACAAACAUCCUGUCUAAUAACAACAGUUACUAGCUAAACAACACCAUUCUGGUAAUUAUUCCAGGAUUGUAUCUGGAAGCCUUUAUUUAACCCACUCUAGAUUUAUAUUUUCUGCAGUACAUUGAUAUUUUGAGUAUGAAGAAAAAUUUUAGUUUUCUUCUCAAACAUGUUUGGUUCUGUUUUAGUAACAGAAUGCUUUUGCAGAUUGGCUGUAAUUUUUCUGUCCUCUUUUUGUCCUCUGCUAAUGUAUUAUGGUUUGUAAGUAAAACAAUGUAAAUAUUUAUUUGAGAAGACAGAACAGCCUCUUAUAUUUUAAUGUCAUUUGAUACAAUAGUCAUGCUUAAAAGUGGAAAUUCCUCAAUUUUAUACAAUUUAUUGACAAUUUAAAAAAAUUUGUUGGAAAGUCUUAUUUUAAUGUUUGUGGAACUGAUUGCUGUUUUGGAUUCACAAGGUCUGAUGAUUUAAGAAGAUAUGUUUAUGUUCUUAAUUUCUAUGAGCACCACAAGAUAAUUACUGAGUAUCUUAGGGUUUCUAUUGAUGUGACAAAACGCUAUGACCAAAAGCAACUUGGAAAAUAAAGGACUUAUUUCACUUAAACUGCAGAUAAUUUACCAUCACUGAGGGAAGUCAGAACAGGAAGGCAAGCAGGACAUGAUCCUGGAGGCAGGAGCUGAUGCAAAGUCCAUGGAGGAGUAGUGCUUACAGGCUUGCUCCCCAUGACUUGCUCAGCCUUCAUUUCUUACAGCACAUGGGACCACUAGCCCAGGGGUGGCUCUGCCCACAGUGGUUGGGUCCUCCCACACCAAUCAGCACUCAAGAAAAUUCCCUAUAGACUUCCCAAAGGCCAAUCCUACACAAACAUUAUAUCCAUUAGGAUUGCUUCUUCCAAGAUGACCCUACCUUUUGUCAAGCUGACAUGAAAACUAGCCAGCACCGUGAGCUAAAAUUUUACAGAACUCUCAAUAUUCUCAACUUAAUUUUACUUAAGAAUAUUAAAUGAUG